rnacentral:misc_RNA from 1 species
ACUCUUCAACCCACCGGUUCCUUGUUGGAUCGAGUUGGUGUUUGGAUCUUGAAUGUUGCUGGCUGAAUUUGAAAUAGUCUUUCGGGACUUGAUAAUAAGCGAAGCUCGUUCGUAAUACAUUAGCAUCUCAAUUUCGAACUUCGGAUUGACUCAGCGUGAUAGACUAUUCGCUGAGGACAUGUUUCAACGUGGCCGAAUUAAGAUAACUAGAAGCUUCUAAUCCCCCACUAGUCAAAACUAUAAG